UGCUUCUGAUCUUGCUCCCUUCUAGGUUGGGAUCAUGCUAGAAAGGCUUCUCCAGGAGCUUGGCUUCAGGAAGGUUUCCAGCCUCUGGAGCCUCGUGCAGGUAUGUUCUCAGCAUCCCACCAAGGAAUAAUCUUUGAUAACCUGGUAGGAACUAGAAACUUCAGUGACUGUUGAGUUACAGGUGUGUCUGCAGGGAAGUCUUUUCCAGCUCCUUUGCUGGUUGUUCCACAUCAGCCCAGAUCCCAUCGCAGGGGUGAGUAGUGUGUCCCUGCUGACCCCACAGACUGAGCACUGCUUUUGAGGGAUCCAUUCAUCUGAAAUGGAAAUACUUUCUGAUAAGGUCCGCCAAGCAGAAAUGAAAUUUCACCAGAAAUGAAAGCAGAGGCUAUGCUGAAGACUGAGUUUCCCAGAAGGAAGCAGUGGCUCAUGGGCAGCCUCUGCUGCAGAAACCGAGGCGAUGCCAGACUCAGUCACAGGAGAUGUUAUCACUGAAACAGGAAUGUAUGCUCAGGAUCCAGUGCGCCUUCCAAGAAUUGUCUGUCCCCAGGACGUGAGCAGAUCCUGCAUGAUAGGCACAGUAGUGACACUGUUCACUGUGCCACUUGUCCUGGUCUGCUGCUAUUUUGGGAUUCGGAAGCUGUAUCAGAUGAGACGACUGAUCAAACUUAUGUUGGUUUGAUUUGACCAAGAGAAGAGUUUUGCUUUGCUGUGAAUUCAAACAAGGAGCAGAGCUGCAACCUGUUGAAAAGAGUCUCUUCACUUCCUAGCUAAAGCAAACUGCCAGGGUUCUUUUUUUUCCUUCUCUGGGCAGGAAUAUAAAAAUAUAUCAUCAGCAAAUACUCCUGUAAAGUAACUGAUAUAAGUUAGGGAUUUUGUCUGUUUGCUCACUAACCCCUGAGUUCCUCAGAGCUGCAGCUCCCUGUUCUCUUUGCAGACAGAGGCUGGCCAUGGAUGACAGUCAUGUGUCUGGCCUGGUGCACACCAGGUCCACACAUGAGCUAAGGGAUCAUCCUUGCACACUCCAUCCUGGAAGAACCCAGUUCACUGAUGAAUCUGACACAAUUUUAUGGCAUGGCAUAAAAAAAAAGGCAAAAUAGAGGUUGGAGUUGGUACCAUUCCAAACACUUGACAUUUUGCUGUGUGUAAUGGAGACAGGAACUACAAAAUUCCUAUUCAUGCACAUUUUGCUGUCUGAGAGCACACAAGUCCUCAAAGUCACAGGGGCUUGCAGAGCUGUGUCUGAGAUGACUUUAAAAACAGAAUCAAUCUUUACAUGCAACACCUGUCUUCAAAACAUUACAAAUCCCAAGCUGAUUCCUCCUAGUAAGUGGAAAAAAACCCCAACCAGAUAACAAAACCAAAACUGUGACCCGACAAAACAGGGAAACAAAACAACCACCAAGAAAAAAUCAAAACUAAUACAAAACCCUCACAAAUCCAGAAAAAUAUCAAAAUCAGGUGAAGGAGGCAGCGAUCAAAGAGCAACAAAUGGGCAGAGAAACUACUAGAUAAUUAGAAAGCACAGGUAAUCACUGGCUAUGGCACCAAACUAGCCAGGGGAUCUGAGAUGCAGUUCUCACCCUUCUGAAAAAAAUCAAACCAGAAAAGAGAUUAUGAUGAUUGUGCAAAUGGUUCUCUGCAUGUUUAGCCUAAAUGUAUCCAUUGUGUAAGUUCUAUUUGCCUUGUUAAGUCACAUCAUCUGGCAAGAGUGCUUUUCUGUCCAAAGGAAACACUGCAGUGGAAGAGGAGGCCAGCUUGGAAAAUAUGAAAAGCAAGAGCUAAAAAUAAAGUACAGUAAUUUCACCAUUAUAAGCCGCACCAUUUUGACUAAAAUUUUGCGCCCAAACCGGAGGUGCGGCUUACAUUCAGGAGCGGCUUAUAUAUGAACAAAUUUUGGAAAUUUCCCAACCCGGAAGUCCGAGCCAGCAGCAGCCCCUGAGCCAAGGUGGAGCCCACCAGGCCCCGGGCAGCGAGGCAGUGGCGGCGCAGCAGCAGCGCUGCCCGGCCCCGGGAGGCGCAACAGCGGCUGGGGAUGCCCCUCUCCCUCUUCCCGGCGGCACUGGCUGGGCAAGCCCCUCUCC
rnacentral:lncRNA from 1 species